rnacentral:lncRNA from 1 species
AAUCUUCAAAACAUCUUCUAUUUCUUUCCGUCCAGACAGUCCGCCAAAUACAUGCAGGUAUAGUAUUCCACCAUAGUAGCUUCCUCUUCCUUGGGCCUUUUCUGGCCAGCACUUCAGUAGAUCAUUUAUUGAUCCUGGCAUGAUCUGUUGCAAUGCAAUCAUUUAGGCUUCCACAAUUGCAUAAUUACUCUGAAUGUCUCUCACACAGAAAGCACUUGCUACAUAGGUCAGAGCCUCUUUUUGGAGAUUCUCACGAAUGAGACAAGCUUCUUUACACAUUACCAUUUAAAUCAAGCUACCUUGAAUGGAGCUUUGGAUCUCCAGAUCUGUUUCCAUGGCAAAGGACUUGGUAAGUUCUCCGGUUUUGUUAAAAUUUUGUAGCAUGAUCUCACUGUGAGCAGACCCUUUUUUCUAGGGAUCCAUGUUAUGUUGCCUUCUGUAUUAGUGUGCUGCUGAUGUGUUCAAAAGACUGAAAAAAUCAACAGCCCAGUUUCAACUGUCAUAAGCUGGCUCUCUCAUCUUGCUCUUGUCCAAGCUAGUUACGCAAUUGCACGUUGCUUACUUGGUUUGGUGUUUAAAAGGUUUGACUACUACUCUCUUAUCCCAUACACUAGCAAAUCUUCAGGUUAAGGUGGAUUGGAAUUUGCUUGGGGCAUAGUGGCUGGGAGGCCUUAACCUUAUAGCUAUUAGCCGUGAAUAUAUCCUGUUCGAUUGUACUUGGACCUUAAACGUUUUAAUAGAUUUAUUCAGCAUGUUUGUCUGAUUUACCUCUUGACAGAUUAAGGAGCACUGCCAUCAGAAUAACACUUUGAAUUGAAAGGAAUCAACUUUUUAGUUGAGUGUGGCUUGGGUUACGUACUUAUGUUGGAUGGUAGCAUAAAAUGGGUGAAGAGAAAUAGAGAUAAAGUGUAGCAAGAAGAGUACCCUUCUGAAUCUUAUGUGGAUUUCUUAUGAUGUUUGUGAACAGUAAUGCUGAAUCAUAAAAUAUGCUUUAUCAGUGUCUUGGUUAGAGGUAGCUAAGAGAUUGCGAAGGGUGAGGGAGGAGGUAAGAAUGAUAUUGAAAUGGUCUCCUAGAGUGUAUCCCAAAACUGCUGUCUCUUGCUUUUCUGUAUCUGGGUUUUGUAUGAAACUCAUGAAAUUUAUUAGCAUAGGUGAUGGUUUACCUUGAUUAUCUGCUUUUUUCUCUUAAUGUGGUUCCUUUUUUUAUUUUGGAAACUUUUCAGGUAUGGCUUGGUCUUGGAAAAACAGUUCUCACAAAUAUAUCCAAAAUCCUAAGCUUGGCCAUAUCCAGGUUUUAGAGUACACUGGUCUUAUGUAACCCAAAGACAUGUUUCCCCUUUAAGUUAAAAACUUAUCUAAACGCAGUAAACAACUGUUUUCCAAGACUUCCCAAAACUCAACUUAUGCCAAAAAAACAUUCCAGGAACUCAACAAAAAACUAACUCAGAAUGUUUUAACAUUUGAAUGGAGAAAGCACAAUUCGGAGCCCUACAGCAAUCCGUCUUGUCAAGUUAGUGCCCUUGAAUGCUGUUUAGCAUCUCGUUUUUAGUUAUCAGCUCUGGAGCAUGUAGAAAGUGCAGUAAAUUUAUUGGUCCUAAAGAUACCGUAAUUGCCUAUGCUUAAUUAUCAGCUGGGGUCUAGGUUUAUUUGUAAUUGUUUCAAUACUUUCAGGCCUUCUCUAUUGGCCAUGACUUACCACUUAAUCCUGUUUAUGUUUCCCUACUUGUUAUUGUGAGAUCUUAAGUGAUUGAAUGCUUUGAUAAUAUAGGUCAAGUUCUGAGCCCUUGAUUAUUACUACUACUACUACUUCCUUUAUUGCUAGAUUUUCUUAAAUGACUGAAUGAUUAGAUAAUAUUACAGUAGUGUCCCGUUCUUCAAAAUAUCCAUCAUUUUAGAAGUGCAUGUGAAAGAAUGCAGACUACAUUAACACUUCCCGUGGUAUUACUCUGCAAUCACAUUACUAAAUGAUGGAGCUUCACUAUCAAGUUUUAAUAGUUGAAUAUUCUAUUGUAUCAUUAUUACUUCCUCCGUUUCAAAAAGAAUGGUCUAGUUUGACUUGGAAUGGAGUUUAAGAAAAGAAAGAAGACGUUUUAAUCUUGUGGUUCUAAAUUAAAGUUAUGUCAAAUGUACCAAAUGUCCUUAAUCUUGUGGCCUUAUACAUGCCACGUGGAAAGUUGAAGUUAAAGUGUUGCCAAAAAAGGAAAGGGAUCAUUCUUUUUGAAACAGACUAAGAAGGAAAUUAGGACAUUCUUUUCGAAAUGGAGGGAGUAGUUGCUAACCCUGAGAUUCAUUAUCCUGGAAAAAGAAAGUAUUUUGGACUUUUGAUGUUUUCUGGGAAUCAACCUUUUGUUUUCUAUGUAUUCACCUUCAGCCCUCUGGUGGAUACCAAAGCUUUUGGACGAAUGCAUGCUACAGAUGCCGAAUCUUUUGAUUUGCAUUCGUUUUACAGAGGGGUGUGUGAGAGCAUUGUGAUGAGACAUCAAUGAGAUUUCUUCUCUUUUAUUCUUUUUCUGUGGUUUGAACAUUGGACAUGGUAGCAUUUGGUUUAUCACCAUAAACGAUGCAGAUUUUGGCGUCCACCAAGCUCACAAGUCACAAAGACCAGGAAAUUGAGCUCUUCGUCAGUUUUCCUUUUCUUUUUACAUAGCAGAACUGUUUUAAGUGAUAGGUUACAUGCAAUUGUUGCAACUAUGCUGGCUACAUCAGUAAAGGGGAUAGCCAUAAUCCAUAGCAUAUACAAUCGACCUUCCAGUGGUGAUUUGCAGCACAACAGUGCCUGGCACUGCGCAUUAAAAAUUCUGUUAUUUAUGGUCCAUCUAAGAAAUAAUAUUGAUUUGAUUCUUUUUUCAGAUGUGAACUUGUGGAUGGGCCUGUUUGGAUAACAUUGCCUCCAAUUUAUUAGAGUUGUGUCUAUAUGGCCACCAAAACGGGUAUGAUCAGUUUCAUUCUUCUAGUAUUCUUUUGUUUCUGUAUUUCACACGUAAGCAAAGAAAGUAAGAAAAAAUGAGCUCUUCAUAGUUCUUUUUCUUUAUUUAGUGCCGAAUUUUCAUACAUCAUCAGGGCGAUGGUAUAUUUACAACUGAUAAUGUUGCCAUGAAAGUCCCCAUAUCUACCCAGGGGCUUGAGAAAUAUAAGUAACAUACAUCUCUUCACUCUUCAGAUACUCUUAUUUCUGCAGUGCAGCAUACCGUCUCAAUGGUGUGAUCUGUAGAGGAGGAUGGUGUUGAACCGUACAAAAUUCCUAAACAACUGUUGGCGUUUUACGCUUAAUGUGCCGAGAUGUCAACUCUGACUCCGUCCCUCCAAGCAUUUCCCACAUCACCUGUACAUCUUCAUAUCCACAGGACUGUAUAUCGCCUUGAAGCUUCAAUAAUCCAGCACCUGAUGUAAACAAAAGUAAGUAAUCCAUAAAGCUACUAUCUCUAUGUUUUUCACUCUGUUCCUUAAGACUGUCCAAAUUCUUUGCAUCCUAAGUGCCAAAAUUUAUGAAGUUACAAGUUUCUCUUCUACCCUAGCUUAGUGAUAACUUAUAUUCCUCCGUCCCAAUUUAUGUGACAAUAUCUAAAACAAACACAUCUUUAAAAAGUUAGAUUGUAGAAAAAACAGGGGGAGAGGCUUUGAAAAACUAGUGCAUCUAUAUUUAGCUUCUUCCUAUAUGUUCAUUAAAUCAAGAGUAAGAGAAACACCAAAUGCGAGUAAGUUUUUUUAUGACUAACCAUCUUUACGAGGCUUGACACGAGCAGAAACAGCACCCCAAACACGUCUAACCGGAAAGACCAUUUUUUGCCACAAAUCCUCCAUCUCCUCUCCUCUACUCCUAUGUUUGGUUGAAAAUGAAAGGGUUUAUAGUGCUCUUUGUUGCAAUAAAGAAUGUAAUGACUAGAGACUAAUAAAGGAGUGAUGUGUUCCUUCCACUCUUGAGUCUUGAUGUGGGGUUUCACAAAAGCAGAUGAAUUAGUGAUAUUGACACAUAUAUAUAUGGGAAAAUAGGGAUGUAUAUGUUUGAAUAUUCUAAUAACUCUAUAAAGUAUGCAGACAAAAUUUACCCCAAUUUAGAUUUGAUUUUUUUCACUAAAGAAAUAAAAAAUAUUCACCGACGCGACCGUCACAGUGCUUGUGUAAGAGAUAUUUUAGUGCCACGAGUCACUUGUGUUGUGGCUGCGCAGGAUUGUCUUAGUUAUUAUUUGGACCGUCAAAUACGUUUGAAAUAUUUUGAAUUGUUAUAGUUUCUAAAUAUUUCAAUUUUAUUUUGAAAAAAUAUUGACGAUACUUUUUAAUUGUCAUGGUUUUUUUUUUUUAGAGUCAAACUAUAAAAACUUUGACUAAUAUUUUACGAUGUAUUUUUUCAUUAUAUUGAUAUGCAAAAAAAUUGUAAUUUAUAGUAUUUUUCAUAUAAUUUUUUAAUAUCUAAAUUUUUUAUUUAAAAUUAAAUUAAUGUAAUCUAAUUUAACAUUGAAAUUAAUUAAAUUAACUUUUGAAAAAAGUAACAUAACAAAUAAAAAUGAAUGAAAAAAAUAUAUUUGAAUUAGUUUAAUUCUCGCGGAGACCAUCAUUUUGGGAUGGAGGGAGUAUUUUCUGCUAGUGCUCGUCUUUUGACUUCUUUUCAUUCAACACAUGUCAUGUUUUCAGUGGGAAAGAGAGAAGAAAAUGGCACCUUUAUAUUAUAAUUAUAAUUAGAAAAAUUGUGUGGUUUGGACGGUUUGACUCUUUAGAUUUUUGUGCCUCAAAUCGAGAGAACAUUAUUAGUGAGCCUUUUUCUGAAAGAACAUUAUUUACAUGCGUUAUUUAUCCCAAAUAUAGUGAAAUAAAUAUUAAGAUUUUUUUUUAUAGCAUUGGCAAUUUAAUUUUGUUAUAUUUGGUGUGAGUAGGUUUGGAGUUUGGGUCAGCUAAUCAGACCAAGAUUCCUAAUUCAAGAGAUGGAAAAGGAAAGGAGUGAUAAGAAGGUCCCAAUGAGAGAGAUAUUUUUGUGUAUUGAAGAAUACGUGGAGUCUUUUUGAGGCUCUAUUAUUAUUACAACUUUCCCGUACUGUCAGCAAUGGGGUCUACCUCCACGUUUUAAUCAAUUUUUUCGAUGGAUUUUAGUUUAUGCAUUUAGUAAUCGCUCGGCGUGAGAUAUAUGGUUUAAUAAUUUUAAAAUAUAAAAUAUAAAAUUAUUUUAUCUUGUGUUUGGUUGGAG